rnacentral:rRNA from 1 species
GAUGAACGCUGGCGGCGUGCCUAAUACAUGCAAGUCGAGCGAACGGACGAGAAGCUUGCUUCUCUGAUGUUAGCGGCGGACGGGUGAGUAACACGUGGAUAACCUCCCUAUAAGACUGGGAUAACUUCGGGAAACCGGAGCUAAUACCGGAUAAUAUUUUGAACCGCAUGGUUCAAAAGUGAAAGACGGUCUUGCUGUCACCUAUAGAUGGAUCCGCGCUGCAUUAGCUAGUUGGUAAGGUAACGGCUUACCAAGGCAACGAUGCAUAGCCGACCUGAGAGGGUGAUCGGCCACACUGGAACUGAGACACGGUCCAGACUCCUGCGGGAGGCAGCAGUAGGGAAUCUUCCGCAAUGGGCGAAAGCCUGACGGAGCAACGCCGCGUGAGUGAUGAAGGUCUUCGGAUCGUAAAACUCUGUUAUUAGGGAAGAACAUAUGUGUAAGUAACUGUGCACAUCUUGACGGUACCUAAUCAGAAAGCCACGGCUAACUACGUG